rnacentral:rRNA from 1 species
ACUCCUACGGGAGGCAGCAGGUGGGGAAUCUUAGACAAUGGGGGAAACCCUGAUCUAGCCAUGCCGCGUGAGUGAUGAAGGCCCUAGGGUCGUAAAGCUCUUUCAGCUGUGAAGAUAAUGACGGUAGCAAGCAGAAGAAACCCCGGCUAACUCCGUGCCAGCAGCCGCGGUAAUACGGAGGGGUUAGCGUUGUUCGGAAUUACUGGGCGUAAAGCGCGCGUAGGCGGAUUAGUCAGUCAGAGGUGAAAUCCCGGGGCUCAACCCCGGAACUGCCUUUGAUACUGCUAGUCUUGAGUUCGAGAGAGGUGAGUGGAAUUCCGAGUGUAGAGGUGAAAUUCGUAGAUAUUCGGAGGAACACCAGUGGCGAAGGCGGCUCACUGGCUCGAUACUGACGCUGAGGUGCGAAAGUGCUGGGGAGC